GUUGCCGCAAAAUCGGCAGCCGGGUUUGGAAGCCCGGAAACAAAAGGCGGAUACAACCGCCACCUUAUAUUUGGUGGCGUUCGU
rnacentral:sRNA from 1 species